AAAGCUUCAAGGGUACGCUACUUGCGCUCUCUCCUCGCCUUCAUAAACCCCUCACAGCCCAUUUUCAUAAACCCCUUCACAGUCCCAGAUUCAUAAACCUCACAGCCCGAACCGGAAAAAAAAACCGAAAAAACCUAAACAAGCUGACGAUCUCCAUUUACGCAUGGGAGAUCCUAAAGCGACGUCGUUGCGUUCGCUCCCUCCCGGUUGCCGAUUCUACCCCUCCGAAGAGCAGCUCCUCUGCUGCUACCUCUCGAACAAGAACGACGCCGACCCGGCCCAAUCCGGGGGCUACGAUUUGAUCAGAGAGCUCGACUUGUACGAUCACGAUCCAUUUGACUUACCUGACAGCGCUUGCUAUUCGUACGGUCACGCGGGGAGGAAGAGGCACUGGUUUUGCUACACGGUUAGGGUUUUGAAGGAGAGGAGAGCGAAGAGCGGGUAUUGGAGGAGGAAAGGGAGGGAUAGGGACGUGGUGGGCCGUGGAGGGAAAGCGGUGUUGGGGAGGAGGACGAGCUUUGUAUUUUAUUUGGGGAAUUCGCCCAACACUGCUGUACGGACUGAUUGGGUUCUCUAUCAGUAUGCUCAGGUCGAUCAUGUAAUGGCUUCUUUUGUCCUGUGCCGAGUAUUUGUCAGAUCUCGUGGAAAUAGAUUAUCAUAUAAUGGGGUAAGUUCUUGUGCUGAAGAAAGUGCUUGCACAGUUCGUCACAUUGGAAUUCAGCAUGAUGGAUUUCAUACUCCCAAUAUUGUUGAAACUGAAGUGCAUGGUGACAAUUCUGCGCAUAGGAAGAAUGAGAUGUUAAAUUUUCCAAUGAGACUGGACUGUGAGAUAAAUGACCGAGUCAAGAAUGGGCCAGUUUCUAUAUCAAGACUUCAGCCUAAUGUCCCGUCGUCUGUGCUUGGUGGUAGUAAUCCAAUAUUUCUUGAUGAUUUGGCAACUGAGCAUUUACUUUCCAUUGUAGAGGGUGAUUUCAUAGAGUUGGAUGAUCUCAACGAUUGAUCAUCCAAUUUAGAUGUUAAAGCAAUUGGAUCGUCCUUAUUAAACAGAGUCUUAAAGACUGACUCUCAUAGUGGUGGAUGUUUACCUUAAUUUUAAGGCUAAAUUAUCAGCUGAAGCAACUAUUCUGAGGAGCUAAAUUGUCACUUGAAACAAUUUUCCUGAUACUGCGUUUAGAUACGGAACAAAGGAUGAGAAGGGUCUAAGUACUGAAAACCCUUUACGAAACAUUAAAUGAUGAAACAUACUGUUGGUUGUGAAGGUGAGAGGGAUGAAUGGCAUGUCAACGCCUGUAAAGAUUUGCUCUUUGCCCAAAAAGAGGCAAGGGCUUCACCGGAACAAGAAAGACUAAAAUAUGUCUGAUGAUGGUAAAUUCAAUAUCGAAGCUAUUACUAUUAGUAUCAGCUGCUUCACUGGGUUUCAACCCUGCUGCCUUGUACCUUCCUGUGGUUACUUUGAACUUACGGAAAAAUUAGAUUUUUCCAUCGUCUAGUGCCUUCUCUUCGCAAGGCCUACUUUGCACUCAAAACUACUGGUUUUUAUUUAUUUGAUUCUCUUUCAGAUUGAGUAACUUUGACAUAAUGAUGACAUUCAUUUGAUAAAUUGUCCUUUUACUAUGCAAUCUCUUGAUGCAUGGUUGUGGGAAGUUGUCUAUGGUUUUAGUUGAUCUGGAUUCUAGUUUUUGUUA